rnacentral:rRNA from 1 species
AGUAACGCGUGGGUAACCGUGCCUCAUACAGGGGGAUAACAGUUGGAAACGACUGCUAAUACCGCAUAAGCGCACAGGAUCGCAUGAUCCGAUGCGAAAAACUCCGGUGGUAUGGGAUGGACCCGCGUCUGAUUAGCCAGUUGGCAGGGUAACGGCCUACCAAAGCGACGAUCAGUAGCCGACCUGAGAGGGUGACCGGCCACAUUGGGACUGAGACACGGCCCAA